rnacentral:rRNA from 1 species
UACAGAGGUGGCAAGCGUUGUUCGGAAUUACUGGGCGUAAAGGGCGCGUAGGCGGUCAGGUCAGUCCCGUGUGAAAUCCCUCGGCUCAACUGAGGAACUGCACGGGAAACUGCCUGGCUUGAGUUCGGGAGAGGGAAGCGGAAUUCCGGGUGUAGCGGUGGAAUGCGUAGAGAUCCGGAAGAAUACCGGUGGCGAAGGCGGCCUGCUGGGCAGUUGCUGACGCUGAGGCGCGACAGCGUGGGGAGCAAACAGG